rnacentral:rRNA from 1 species
GGGAUAAGCGCUGGAAACGGCGUCUAAUACCGGAUACGAGCCGAGCAGGCAUCUGCAUCGGUUGGAAAGAACUUCGGUCAGGGAUGAGCUCGCGGCCUAUCAGCUAGUUGGUGAGGUAAUGGCUCACCAAGGCGACGACGGGUAGCCGGCCUGAGAGGGUGACCGGCCACAGUGGGACUGAGACACGGCCCAGACUCCUACGGGAGGCAGCAGUGGGGAAUAUUGCACAAUGGGCGCAAGCCUGAUGCAGCAGCGCCGCGUGAGGGACGAAGGCCUUCGGGUUGUAAACCUCUUUUAGCAGGGAAGAAGCGAGAGUGACGGUACCUGCAGAAAAAGCACCGGCUAACUACGUGCCAGCAGCCGCGGUAAUACGUAGGGUGCGAGCGUUAUCC